CCCUUAGAUGUCCGGGGCCGCACGCGCGCUACACUGACUACUUCAACGAGUUGUUUCCUUGAUCGAAAGGUCUGGGUAAUCUUUGAAAGGUAGUCGUGAUGGGGAUAGAUCCUUGCAAUUUUUGAUCUUCAACGAGGAAUUCCUAGUAAACGCAAGUCAUCAGCUUGCAUUGAUUACGUCCCUGCCCUUUGUACACACCGCCCGUCGCACCUACCGAUUGAAUGGUCCGGUGAAUCUUUAGGACUGUGGCUGAGGCCUUGCCUUGUGCGGGUCUGGCCGUGGGAAUUUAGUUAAACCUUACCAUUUAGAGGAAGGUGAAGUCGUAACA
rnacentral:rRNA from 1 species